AGGACGGACGCUGGCGGCGUGCUUAACACAUGCAAGUCGAGCGGAAAGGCCCUUCGGGGUACUCGAGCGGCGAACGGGUGAGUAACACGUGAGCAACCUGCCCUUGGCUCUGGGAUAGCCUCCGGAAACGGGGAUUAAUACCGGACAUUCACUUUCUCCUGCAUGGGGGUUGGUGGAAAGUUUUUCGGCCAGGGAGGGGCUCGCGGCCUAUCAGCUUGUUGGCGGGGUAACGGCCCACCAAGGCGACGACGGGUAG
rnacentral:rRNA from 1 species